AAUCAGUGCAUGGAGCGCAGCAGCUCUGCUGUUUUUACUGACACUCUUUUCUGUGUGAUCUUCCAGGAAUGUUCUGUGGAGACUGGGGAUUAUCCUCUCCAAGUGGUCCCUGCUGGCCAGGAUUCUUCUGCACAGCAGGAGCAAGUGUCCCGAACCCUAAUGGAGCCACAAACACGAGCACUGGUGGCCCAUGCCCACCUGGCCACUUCUGCCCUGCUGGCACAAGUAUCCCACAGCAGUGCCCUGUGGGCACUUACUCAGACAGGUGAGCUUCUGGUUCUGAUGGUGCUAAUCUGUAUGUUCCUUUCCUUUUUAUCUUUCUCUUCUACUGCUAUCUACUACCUCCUUUGCUUCCUUACAGUGUCCUUAAGCUGCAGCCCAGUAAGGCUCAUUAGACACAUCUCUGGAUUUAUUAUAAAAGCCUCAUGGUUGUUUUCCCUUGGCCAGGGGUAUAGGCAUCAGGGACCUCCUGCUGAACUUGCACACUUGCCAACAGAAAGCUUGCUUCUGUCUCUCUGCAGGCUGUACAUCGGGCAGGAGUCCAGCUGCACAGCGUGCCCAUCUGGCUAUUACUGCAGCUCUGCUGGCCUCACGGCACCCUCAGGACCCUGCUCAGCUGGGUACUACUGCCUCUCUGGAGCUUCCUCGCCAUCGCCACCUGGUGAGUUGCCCUGGGUGAAUGUCAGUGUCUUCACUUAAUUGUGUCCAAUAAUUAAGGGUGUUGACAACAGAGAGCUUUGAAAAAUGCCGGUUUUUCCCCCAGUACUCCUGCCCCUGCCUCUUCUCAGUCGUUUAAUUUUUAAUAUAAUUAAACCCUGUAUUAAUUUUGUUUGGGGUAUUCAUACAUCUGCAUACAUAACAAGUAUGAAAAAGCAGUCAGUCCCCCUGUCUGUGUUACUGAAUGCGACGCUUGCAUUGAACACUGGAAAGCUGUGGGUACCAGCCUGUAAUGGAAGCAGCCUGAUUCCCCCUUGUCAUUUUAUUGUGUAUCAGAAAGAAUAAUUUCCAGGGAAGAAUUCCAGGUCAAUUCCUGUGGACAAUUAAAUAUUCUCCAAAAUUCUUGUUACAUACAAAGCAGAGUGUUUAGAAAGCUGAUGUGCGAAAUACAGUUCACCACGGCUUUGCCUGUGAAG
rnacentral:lncRNA from 1 species